GGUGCAUUACCAAUUUUAUUUAAUUAUCCAUCAGCGGCCAUUUGCUUAAAACUGUCGUGUGGUGUCGGUUUAUUGAAAGUGUUCAUUGAUUGAUCAUUAUUAGUUUAAAAAUAUCUACGAACAAAUCAUAUCAUUUAAAUGUUCAAACUGGACUUACGACAUCAUGUGGACAACUUAUCGAAGUUUUAUACCAUGUGCUGCUGACCAUAUAUCACCGCGGAGAAUUUUGUUAUUAACUCGUUAUUAAAUAGCAAUAUUAAAGAGUUUUUUCUCUUAACAUGUAACAGGUAAUCGUGCUUAAGAAGCAAUUCGUUCGUGAAUAUUUAAUGGUUGUCGGUAAAAUCUGUAGAAUGUGCAUGGGCACGGAUUUAUUAAUGAAUACAAACUUUGUUUGAAGCUUUCUCAAGAGAAGCGAUCGGAAAUUCUCGCGGAGCUCUGAUGAAUCAUAAACACGUUAUCGUCACAAAAAAUUGUUGGCGGCGGAUGGAAUAAUGGAAUAACUUUGUUUACUCAAACUAACCACAUGUUCGCCGUUGCUAGCUGCUUAUGGUGUAAAACCAUGUUGUACACGUGGAAAGAUAGUGAUUUGGAAGAUCUUAGAAAAUAUUUACGAAAAUGCUAUGGAUAUGUUUCGAUAAACUUCAUCUAGUUAUCAUUAUGAUUUAUUGCAUUUUGGUAUUGCAGUUCGGAUAAUAACUACACUACACGUAAUCUCAAUCUGCGUUAAUUGCCGAACUACGUUUUGGACAUUCAAAAAUAAAAAUAAACAAAAACGAUGAAUUGUUAGUAAAUGUGAUGAAAUUAAUAUCUUUAUUUUGAUUGAUGUGUGAAGUGUUCGUGGCUAGAUAUGGCUGUGUUUGUGAACACUAACUUUCAGUUCACGGGCUCAUCAAUACUCUUCCUGUGAUAUGUCUCUUGUAUCUGACACGGAUGGCAACUCGACGACAGUGUACAACAGCGCUGCGCCCUCUGCGGGGGACAUUGCUGAGGAUCAGUACGGUGUUGCCCUGGCAAUCUACUCCGUCCUCGCCCCUGCCUCCUUCGUUUUCGUUAUCAUCAUCAUCCUCAUGUUUUUCAUCGCUCUCAUUCUCAAUCCACAAAGUAGACGGCUGAAUCUAUGAAAAAGAUGAAAUUCGAUACUUCGUCGUCGAUGAAUAACCCGUCCAAAAGGCAGCAAGUGACAAGACAGAACAAUUGUGCACAUGAUUGAUAAUACUGUUUGGAUCAAAUACACCUUGUAUAGAACAUGUUUUGAUAUGUUCGUACUUUCAAUCGAUCGCCAUUUCAAAUGCAUUGUUGGUAUUUUCGUUAAUUUAUAUACAAGAGCUGUGCCGUCCACUGUACUUUUGACAUUUGCUAUAUUAACAUGUGCUUUAAUAAAACAAACACUUCAUCAUAAAAGUAUCGUGCUAUAAUUAUGCGGUGUAUAUCAUUCCAUUUUAUAGGUGAAUAAGAUGCUUAAAUGUUUCCAGAAUACUGAAUAAUAAACGAAAAUGCCUAAA